rnacentral:rRNA from 1 species
UGCGUAGGCGGCGCGCUAAGUCAGUGGUGAAAGCCUCCCGCUCAACGGGAGAAAUGCCAUUGAUACUGGCGUGCUUGAGUACGGACGAGGUAGGCGGAAUUUAUGGUGUAGCGGUGAAAUGCAUAGAUACCAUAAAGAACACCGAUAGCGUAGGCAGCUUACUAGACCGUAACUGACGCUGAGGCACGAAAGCGUGGGGAGCGAACAGGAUUAGAUACCCUGGUAGUC